rfam:Myotis davidii contig50889, whole genome shotgun sequence.
GGUGGUUCUCAGGUGAUGAACCCCAGAAUUGACCCUCUCUGGUUCUGGGGUGCAUCACCCGAGAACUGCC